rnacentral:rRNA from 1 species
CAGUAGCCACGGGAACACGGAGGGUGCAAGCGUUAUCCGGAUUUAUUGGGUUUAAAGGGUCCGUAGGCGGAUCUGUAAGUCAGUGGUGAAAUCUCACAGCUUAACUGUGAAACUGCCAUUGAUACUGCAGGUCUUGAGUAAAUUUGAAGUGGCUGGAAUAAGUAGUGUAGCGGUGAAAUGCAUAGAUAUUACUUAGAACACCAAUUGCGAAGGCAGGUCACUAAGAUUUAACUGACGCUGAUGGACGAAAGCGUGGGGAGCGAACAGGAUUAGAUACCCCUGUAGUCCCUGUCUCUUAUAC